AUCCUGUAAAGCAGAGAACACAGCAGUUCCCGGUGCCCUCUAGUACAGCAAUCGUGCUCUGAGGUUUUCAUUUUUUUUCCAGAGACUGUACAUUCACCAGCUGGAUGAUCGGGAGUGGAAGUCUAAGGAGUUUACAGGCACAUUCCUGGAUCCUCAUUCUGAAUCUCCUUUCUAUGGCCGACUGGACGUGGUUGUACUCGAAGGGUUGUUUAACUUGUCAUGCCAUCUCCGCAGCUAAUGUGCCUUACUUUAGCAGCAGAAAAGAAAUCUCGUGAUGACAUACGGCGGUCAUGUGUAUACAGAGAGUAGAGCAGUGGGCUAAGCACACACCCCUGAGGUGCGCCAGUGUUGAUCGUCAGCGAGGAGGAGAUGUUAUCACCAAUCCACACAGAUUGUGGUCUUCCAGUUAGGAAGUCAUGGAUCCAAUUGCAGAGGGAGGUACAGGUUCUGCAACUUCUCAUUCAGGACUUUUUGAGAUAAUUGAAAAUUGCAAGUAAGCACUGUGAGAAAAUGGACAACAUCAGCCUUCGUGCAGUUAUCCGCUACCUCGGUCUCAAUGGCUUAUCACCCAAGGACAUGAUGGCAACACUAGGGGAGAAUGAAAAAUAAAUGUGCUAGGUUUUCUAAAACUGGCUCCUUCUACUUUAGGCCACGAACUUAUCAAUCACCCCUCAUAGAUCUUAGCUUUCCCUUCACUUGGUAGACCUCUAUCACUGUUUGUUUCAAUUACUCUUUGUUCU